UACGUAGGGUGCAAGCGUUGUCCGGAAUUAUUGGGCGUAAAGAGCUCGUAGGCGGCUUGUCGCGUCGGCUGUGAAAACCUGGGGCUCAACCCCGGGCCUGCAGCCGAUACGGGCAAGCUAGAAUUCGGUAGGGGAGACUGGAAUUCCAGGUGUAGCGGUGAAAUGCGUAGAUAUCUGGAGGAACACCGGUGGCGAAGGCGGCAUCCUGGACCGGUAUUGACGCUGAGGCGCGAAAGCUAGGGGAGCAAACGGG
rnacentral:rRNA from 1 species